rnacentral:rRNA from 1 species
UACGUAGGGACCAAGCGUUGUUCGGAUUUACUGGGCGUAAAGGGCGCGUAGGCGGCGUGUUAAGUCAGCUGUGAAAUCUCCAAGCUUAACUUGGAACGGUCAGCUGAUACUGAUGUGCUAGAGUGCAGAAGGGGCAACCGGAAUUCUUGGUGUAGCGGUGAAAUGCGUAGAUAUCAGGAGGAACACCGGUGGCGAAGGCGGGUCUCUGGACAGUUCCUGACGCUGAGGCACGAAGGUCAGGGGAGCAAACGGG